UAAUUGAAGAGUUUGAUCAUGGCUCAGAUUGAACGCUGGCGGCAGGCCUAACACAUGCAAGUCGAGCGGUAACAGGGGAAGCUUGCUUCUC
rnacentral:rRNA from 1 species